rnacentral:rRNA from 1 species
UAAUACGAAGGGUGCAAGCGUUACUCGGAAUUACUGGGCGUAAAGCGUGCGUAGGUGGUUCGUUAAGUCUGUCGUGAAAGCCCCGGGCUCAACCUGGGAAUGGCGAUGGAUACUGGCGGGCUAGAGUGCGGUAGAGGAGAGUGGAAUUCCCGGUGUAGCAGUGAAAUGCGUAGAGAUCGGGAGGAACAUCAGUUGCGAAGGCAGCCCCCUGGGCCAGUACUGACGCUCAUGCACGAAAGCGUGGGGAGCAAACAGGAUUAGAUACCCUGGUAGUCCACGCCCUAAACGAUGUCAACUAGGUGUUGGGUGGGUAAAACCAUUUAGUACCGUAGCUAACGCGUGAAGUUGACCGCCUGGGGAGUACGGCCGCAAGGUU